GACGAACGCUGGCGGCGUGCUUAACACAUGCAAGUCGAACGGAAAGGCCCUGCUUUUGUGGGGUGCUCGAGUGGCGAACGGGUGAGUAACACGUGAGUAACCUGCCCUUGACUUUGGGAUAACUUCAGGAAACUGGGGCUAAUACCGGAUAGGAGCUCCUGCUGCAUGGUGGGGGUUGGAAAGUUUCGGCGGUUGGGGAUGGACUCGCGGCUUAUCAGCUUGUUGGUGGGGUAGUGGCUUACCAAGGCUUUGACGGGUAGCCGGCCUGAGAGGGUGGACGGCCACAUUGGGACUGCGAUACGGCCCAGACUCCUACGGGAGGCAGAAGUGGGGAAUAUUGCACAAUGGGCGGAAGCCUGAUGCAGCAACGCCGCGUGCGGGAUGACGGCCUUCGGGUUGUAAACCGCUUUCGCCUGUGCCGAAGCGGGAGUGACGGUAAUGGGUAAAGAAGCACCGGCUAACUACGUG
rnacentral:rRNA from 1 species